rnacentral:rRNA from 1 species
AUUGAACGCUGGCAGCAUGCCUUCCACAUGCAAGUCGAACGGCAGCACGGGAGCUUGCUCCUGGUGGCGAGUGGCGAACGGGUGAGUAAUACAUCGGAACGUACCCAGUAGUGGGGGAUAACGCACCGAAAGGUGCGCUAAUACCGCAUACGACCUAAGGGUGAAAGCGGGGGACCGUAAGGCCUCGCGCUAUUAGAGCGGCCGAUGCCUGAUUAGCUUGUUGGUGGGGUAAAAGCCCACCAAGGCGACGAUCAGUAGCUGGGCUGAGAGGACGAUCCGCCACACUGGGACUGAGACACGGCCCAGACUCCUACGGGAGGCAGCAGUGGGGAAUUUUGGACAAUGGGGGCAACCCGGAUCCAGCAAUGCCGCGUGAGGGAAGAAGGCCUUCGGGUUGUAAAGCUCUUUUGUCAGGGAAGAAACACCGGCUCUAACACAGUCCGGGAAUGACGGUACCUGAAGAAUAAGCACCGGCUAACUACGUGCCAGCAGCCGCCGUAA